UCCAUCCACCAGUCCUCAGUCUCUCCCGUCCGCUGGUCCUCAGCCUGACCCCACCCCAAUGACCCCUCCAUCUGCCAUUCCUCAGUGCCUCUCAGCCCUCGGUGUCUCCCCAGAGGAAUUGAUGGACGAGAUCUGGUCUGGGAAACGGCAGGGUGUGCUGUGGAGCAAGGUGGGGCCUUAUAAAAUCUUCUCCAGGGAUCUGAGCAAUCUGGCCCCAGGAAAGGAGGUUGAAAGUGAGGUGAUGAACGCUUUCAUCCAGUGCUCUUUGGAGAAGGUCAGAGGACAACUGGACAAGAAAGCCUUCUAUGUGGACUCAAAUGUGUUUUGGAAUGUGGUUCCAAAUGACUGCUGUAUGGCAAGGGUCAUACAGGGAACUAAAUA